rnacentral:rRNA from 1 species
CAGCAGCCACGGGAAUACGUAGGUGGCAAGCGUUGUCCGGAAUUAUUGGGCGUAAAGCGCGCGCAGGUGGUUUAAUAAGUCUGAUGUGAAAGCCCACGGCUCAACCGUGGAGGGUCAUUGGAAACUGGGAAACUUGAGUGCAGAAGAGGAGAGUGGAAUUCCACGUGUAGCGGUGAAAUGCGUAGAGAUGUGGAGGAACACCAGUGGCGAAGGCGACUCUCUGGUCUGUAACUGACGCUGAGGAGCGAAAGCGUGGGGAGCGAACAGGAUUAGAUACCCGCGUAGUCCCUGUCUCUUAUAC